CUAAAAAGUGAAACACCCUCUUAGUCUAGGUUUUCACCUCCAUAGUCCAUAUACGCAGUCUCCGUUGGCCAGGGAAUUUUCUUCCCAAAGGCCAAAGCCAUCACUGAUUCAUCGAGAGAAAUCAUUGCCUGAGGAGGAUCGACAGGAGACAAUAUUGGAUCUUUGGAGAUGCGAACAUUAGCAGUGUCCUUGUUGUGGCAGCAAAGUUUGGAUAGGGCUAAGAAUGGCCUCCACUAAACCAACUUGCUGAGCUUGAAAUGCUAAAAUCUAAGGGCCUCAACCCAAUAUGUUAAUUUCAAUAGACAUUGAUGAAGCUGAGUUGACUUUUCAAAGAUUUGAAAUAUUUAUGCAGAUGUGGACGAGGGAAAACUGUUGUGAUCGCAUGAGUUUAUUUGAUGAAGUUUGAUAAUGAUUUGAUGGAAUUCCUUGUUUUGCGGUAGCAACGGUCGUCCAAUUUACGUCUCAAAUGUUUCUAAUAUCAACUUAUCAACUCAGACAAAUAUCUCAUUUGAUUUGUCUGCAUUGAAUCAUUAUUAAAUUUACAUCUUUGUCUGAGUUGAUAAGAUGAUCCCUGAGACAUGUAUACUCUAUGAAAGAUUUCUCAAGAUGGUCUCCAUUGCAUCGGUGGCUUCAAAACAAGGGAUUUUCAUCAGUUCAUUUUGGAACUUGAUAUUGAAUAAACUUGUGUUGAGAACCGACAGUUUUCUUUUUCCAAAUUUGUAUAAAUGUUUGAUUUUUGAGAAGUUAACUCCAGCUUCAUCAAGCUCUCUUGCACUUGAACGUGAAGAUAUGUUGAGUUCCUUAGUUUUUGUCAUCUCUUUGGAUGUAAACAUUUGCAAACGAAUUACUUACUUGCAACAGGCUAUCCGUGCUCACCAUCACACGAGAAAGCUCAGCUCACCAACUGACUCGUCAAUAUAAGGUACCUGUCAUAAUUGCUGACUUACCAGCUUUUACAUCUUAAUUAGUUAUUCUUUUAAUUCUUGUUGAACUCAAAAAGGGGGAAGAUAGUAACAAUUUAUUACAAUUAAAUGAAGAAGCUAAAAAGAAGAAUGACAAAGAAUUCCUCCAUUGUAGAAGUAUUGUGGAAAAGCUGACUAUAUUGCUUUCAGUGGCUGGUGAACCUUUCAAAACUGGCAAAUCUACUUUUAUCUUAUUGUUGAAUGCAAUACUCAAAAAUGUACAAGUGACUACUGAAACAGUAACAAAAGAAAUAAAAGAGGAGAGGUUUCCCUUGCUGGUAUAUAAUGGUAUUGAGAUUCUUUUA